rnacentral:rRNA from 1 species
UUUAUGGAGAGUUUGAUCCUGGCUCAGGACGAACGCUGGCGGCGUGCCUAAUACAUGCAAGUCGAGCGAAUCGAUGGGAGCUUGCUCCCUGAGAUUAGCGGCGGACGGGUGAGUAACACGUGGGCAACCUGCCUAUAAGACUGGGAUAACUUCGGGAAACCGGAGCUAAUACCGGAUACGUUCUUUUCUCGCAUGAGAGAAGAUGGAAAGACGGUUUACGCUGUCACUUA